rnacentral:rRNA from 1 species
GUGAGGAAUAUUGGACAAUGGGCGCAAGCCUGAUCCAGCCAUGCCGCGUGCAGGAAGACGCAUCUAUGGUGUGUAAACUGCUUUUGUACGGGAAGAAACACUCCCUCGUGAGGGAGCUUGACGGUACCGUAAGAAUAAGGAUCGGCUAACUCCGUGCCAGCAGCCGCGGUAAUACGGAGGAUCCAAGCGUUAUCCGGAAUCAUUGGGUUUAAAGGGUCCGUAGGCGGUUUAAUAAGUCAGUGGUGAAAGCCCAUCGCUCAAGGAUGGAACGGCCAUUGAUACUGUUAGACUUGAAUUACAAGGAAGUAACUAGAAUAUGUAGUGUAGCGGUGAAAUGCUUAGAUAUUACAUGGAAUACCAAUUGCGAAGGCAGGUUACUACUUGUGGAUUGACGCUGAUGGACGAAAGCGUGGGGAGCGAACAGGAUUAGAAACCCUAGUAGUCC